CUUUAGCAUUUCUAGUAUUGGAGGCACUGCCUGCCCGGUGACACUUGUUUAACGGCCGCGGUAUCCUGACCGUGCAAAGGUAGCAUAAUCAUUUGUUCUCUAAAUAGGGACUUGUAUGAAUGGCCACACGAGGGUUUAACUGUCUCUUACUCCCAAUCAGUGAAAUUGACCUUCCCGUGAAGAGGCGGGAAUACCACAAUAAGACGAGAAGACCCUAUGGAGCUUUAAUUAACUAACCCAAACUUAUGGAUACUAGAUACCUACAAGGCAUAACAUAACACCAUUAUUAUGAGUUAGCAAUUUAGGUUGGGGUGACCUCGGAAUAUAAAAAAACUCCCGAGUGAUUAAAAUUUAGACCCACAAGUCAAAAUACAACAUCACUUAUUGAUCCAAUAAUUUUUGAUCAACGGAACAAGUUACCCUAGGGAUAACAGCGCAAUCCUAUUCAAGAGUCCAUAUCGACAAUAGGGUUUACGACCUCGAUGUUGGAUCAGGACAUCCUAAUGGUGCAGCAGCUAUUAAGGGUUCGUUUGUUCAACGAUUAAAGUCCUAC
rnacentral:rRNA from 1 species